rnacentral:rRNA from 1 species
AUUGAACGCUGGCGGCAGGCUUAACACAUGCAAGUCGAGCGGGGGAGGUUGCUUCGGUAACUGACCUAGCGGCGGACGGGUGAGUAAUGCUUAGGAAUCUGCCUAUUAGUGGGGGACAACAUCUCGAAAGGGAUGCUAAUACCGCAUACGUCCUACGAGAGAAAGCAGGGGACCGUCGGGCCUUGCGCGAAUAGAUGAGCCUAAGUCGGAUUACCUAGUUGGUGGGGUAAAGGCCUACCAAGGCGACGAUCUGUAGCGGGUCUGAGCGGAUGAUCCGCCACACUGGGACUGAGCCACGGCCCAGACUCCUACGGGAGGCAGCAGUGGGGAAUAUUGGACAAUGGGGGGAACCCUGAUCCAGCCAUGCCGCGUGUGUGAAGAAGGCCUUUUGGUUGUAAAGCACUUUAAGCGAGGAGGAGGCUACUGGUAUUAAUACUACCGGAUAGUGGACGUUACUCGCAGAAUAAGCACCGGCUAACUCUGUGCCAGCCGCCGCAGUAACAC